AUUUCCGCCUGCGCCGAUUUGAGGAACAGCUUGCGGGCGCGUUAAAAAUACAGCUAAAGCGGGUGAACCCGGUUUAGC
rfam:Ferriphaselus amnicola DNA, contig: contig00004, strain: OYT1.